GAUGAACGCUGGCGGCAUGCCUAACACAUGCAAGUCGAGCGGACGGACGGAGCUUUUGCCUGGAUGCAGUGGGGGACGGGCGAGUGAUUCCCACGAGUAUGCCCUGCCUAGGGGAAUGACAUCACUACGCGAGAGCGGAUAUCACACAGGAUCAGAUGGUGAACCUGGGGGAUCAUCGGACCACACCGGUUCUGAUGUGACUAGGUCGGAUUAGCUAGUUGGUUGGGUAAGGGCCUACCAAGGCGACUAUCCGUAACUGGACUGAGAGGAUGAUCAGCCACACUGGAACUGAGACACGGUCCAGACUCCUACGGGAGGCAGCAGUGGGGAAUAUUGGGCAAUGGGCGAAAGCCUGAUGCAGCCAUGCCGCGUGUGUGAAGAAGGUCUUCGGAUUGUAAAGCACUUUUAGUAGGGAGGAACAGCUGUGAGUUAAUACGUUGCUGUUUUGACGGUACCGAAUGAAUAAGCACCGGCUAACUACGUG
rnacentral:rRNA from 1 species